rnacentral:rRNA from 1 species
CAGUGUGACUCGUCACACUAUCAUUAACUGAAUCCAUAGGUUAAUGAGGCGAACCGGGGGAACUGAAACAUCUAAGUACCCCGAGGAAAAGAAAUCAACCGAGAUUCCCCCAGUAGCGGCGAGCGAACGGGGAGGAGCCCAGAGCCUGAAUCAGCAUGUGUGUUAGUGGAAGCGUCUGGAAAGGCGCGCGAUACAGGGUGACAGCCCCGUACACAAAAGCGCAUGUGCUGUGAGCUCGAUGAGUAGGGCGGGACACGUGGUAUCCUGUCUGAAUAUGGGGGGACCAUCCUCCAAGGCUAAAUACUCCUGACUGACCGAUAGUGAACCAGUACCGUGAGGGAAAGGCGAAAAGAACCCCGGCGAGGGGAGUGAAAAAGAACCUGAAACCGUGUACGU